ACGCGGAAGCGAGGCGGUUUGAAGCGCUGACAGGCUGGGGCGUGCUCCGGCGUGCCAUGGCGGCGCUUGGCGCCUACCGCUGCAUCGAAUGCAACAGGGAGGCGGCCGAGCUGUACAGGGACUACCAGCGCGGCGUGCUCCGCAUCUCCAUCUGCCAUUUCAGAAAGCUGUGUGCAUAGGUUUCUCUUCUGGCAGUGCAAAGCCGUGCACUCAUUAAAAUGGAAAUAGAGAUCGUUUCUAUGACUCUUCUACUCUGAGCAUGGCAGCUAAUGUGAAGGCCCAGGGGAGCAGGAUUAGUGGAGGACAGGUUGGAGGAAACAAGUAGCUGAACUGCAGGAUCGGCAGCAGGAGAAAGCUGACCUGCAAGCGAGCACCCUCCUUAAGUGCGUUUGUUUGAGCUGAAGUGGUUGCUGUGAUCAACUGCUCCUGCUCCUCAGCUCUCUGCUAGAAGUUAUUUCCCCCUCAGGUCUGCUAAAAAUCCUGCCAGAAACCUGUGGACAAAUACAUUGAGUAUGAUCCUGUUAUCAUCUUGAUUAAUGCUAUUUUAUGUAAAGCACAAGCAUACAGGCACAUUCUUUUCAAUACAAAGAUAAAUAUUCAUGGGAAGCUCUGCAUAUUUUGUUUGCUCUGUGAAGCUUAUCUCAGGUGGUUGCAACUACAGGAUUCAAGCCAAAAUAUAGAUCCUGAUGACUUAAUCAGAUAUGCCAAGGAAUGGGAUUUUUAUAGAAUGUUUGGUAUAGCUUCUUUAG